rnacentral:rRNA from 1 species
UACGAAGGGGGCUAGCGUUGCUCGGAAUCACUGGGCGUAAAGGGUGCGUAGGCGGGUCUUUAAGUCAGGGGGGAAAUCCUGGAGCUCAACUCCAGAACUGCCUUUGAUACUGAGGAUCUUGAGUUCGGGAGAGGUGAGUGGAACUGCGAGUGUAGAGGUGAAAUUCGUAGAUAUUCGCAAGAACACCAGUGGCGAAGGCGGCUCACUGGCCCGAUACUGACACUGAGGUGCGAAAGCGUGGGGAGCAAACAGG